CCAUGAGAUUAUUUCUAACAAUAUCAUUGUCAUGGGAUCAUUUCACUGCAUGUGUUGAGGGACAGAGAAGUUCUUCAAGAUGUUUAUAUUUAAAGAUGACCACUGCCAGCAUGAACAACUUUUGCCUCUGCUUGAGCUUGGAGUUCAUAACGCCGUCUGAGCACGGUAAGCCCUGGAGUACCCAAACAAGGUGAACAUCCAGCUCCAGAAAUUUCAAACCCAGGCCUGAUGUCAUGGGUCUCCUCCCUGAGCUGGAGCCUUCACUGGCAGUAGAGGCUGAAGCUCCAAACAGAUUCUGGAAGCAAAGAUCUCUUGGGCAAGUUUCCUACAGAAGAAGGACAAGCCAGUCCCACCGAGCUGAAGAACCAAAUCCUUUACAUCCUAAUUGCAAUCUCAUGCUUAUUUUAAGCACUUUAGUACAACUGGAAGCCACA